rnacentral:rRNA from 1 species
UGGCUGCAGUCGAGGAUAUUUAGCAAUGGGCGAAAGCCUGACUAUGCGACGCCGCGUGAGGGAUGAAGGCUUUCGGGUUGUAAACCUCUUUCGAUGGGGAAGAAUCCAGACGGUACCCAGAGAAGAAGCCACGGCUAACUCCGUGCCAGCAGCCGCGGUAAUACGGAGGUGGCAAGCGUUACUCGGAUUCAUUGGGUGUAAAGGGCAGGUAGGCGUCUAGAUAAGUUCCAGGUGAAAUCCUUCCGCUUAACGGAAGAACUGCCUGGAAAACUAUUUAGAUUGAGGCUGGGAGAGGAGAGCGGAAUUCCCGGUGUAAGGGUGAAAUCUGUAGAUAUCGGGAAGAACACCAGUAGCGAAGGCGGCUCUCUGGUCCAGACCUGACGCUGAGCUGCGAAAGCUAGGGGAGCAAACAGGAUUAGAUACCCGUGUAGUC